AGCAUACUGCAGUUUCAGUUCAGUGAACUGAAGGAGACGUUGAAACAGAGUGAAGAACUUCUCACUGAGAUCCGUCAAUUACGGCUCAAGCAAGACGGCUAUGUUAGGGAGAUUUCUGACCUCCAGGAAACUAUUGAGUGGAA